AUUGAACGCUGGCGGCAUGUCUUACACAUGCAAGUCGAACGGCAGCGGACCUUCGGGUGCCGGCGAGUGGCGAACGGGUGAGUAAUAUAUCGGAACGUACCUUUCAGUGGGGGAUAACGUAGCGAAAGUUACGCUAAUACCGCAUAUUCUGUGAGCAGGAAAGCAGGGGAUCGCAAGACCUUGCGCUGAUUGAGCGGCCGAUAUCAGAUUAGCUAGUUGGUGAGGUAAAGGCUCACCAAGGCGACGAUCUGUAGCGGGUCUGAGAGGAUGAUCCGCCACACUGGAACUGAGACACGGUCCAGACUCCUACGGGAGGCAGCAGUGGGGAAUUUUGGACAAUGGGCGCAAGCCUGAUCCAGCCAUGCCGCGUGAGUGAAGAAGGCCUUCGGGUUGUAAAGCUCUUUCGGCCGGGAAGAAAUCGCACAGGUUAAUACCCUGUGUGGAUGACGGUACCGGAAUAAGAAGCACCGGCUAACUACGUG
rnacentral:rRNA from 1 species